GACGAACGCUGGCGGCGUGCUUACCACAUGCAAGUCGAACGGUGAAGCGCCUUCCUUUUGGUGGGUGUGGAUGAGUGGCGAACGGGUGAGUAACACGUGAGUAACCUGCCCCCUUCUUCUGGAUAACCGCAUGAAAGUGUGGCUAAUACGGGAUAUUCUGUGCCUGCUGCAUGGUGGGUGUGGGAAAGAUUGCGCCCUUUUUGGGUGUUUUUGGUGGGGGAUGGGCUCGCGGCCUAUCAGCUUGUUGGUGGGGUGAUGGCCUACCAAGGCGGUGACGGGUAGCCGGCCUGAGAGGGUGGACGGUCACACUGGGACUGAGACACGGCCCAGACUCCUACGGGAGGCAGCAGUGGGGAAUAUUGCACAAUGGGCGCAAGCCUGAUGCAGCGACGCCGCGUGAGGGAUGGAGGCCUUCGGGUUGUGAACCUCUUUCGCCAGUGAAGCAGGCCUGCUCCUUGGUGGGUGGGUUGACGGUAGCUGGAUAAGAAGCGCGGU
rnacentral:rRNA from 1 species